GCCGGAGUGCUUGCACUUUGGCAGACUGAGUGGCGGACGGGUGAGUAACGCGUGGGUAACCUGCCUUAUACAGGGGGAUAACAGUUGGAAACGACUGCUAAUACCGCAUAAGCGCACGGUAUCGCAUGAUACAGUGUGAAAAACUCCGGUGGUAUAAGAUGGACCCGCGUCUGAUUAGCUUGUUGGUGAGGUAACGGCCCACCAAGGCGACGAUCAGUAGCCGGCCUGAGAGGGUGAACGGCCACAUUGGGACUGAGACACGGCCCAAACUCCUACGGGAGGCAGCAGUGGGGAAUAUUGCACAAUGGGGGAAACCCUGAUGCAGCGACGCCGCGUGAGUGAUGAAGUAUUUCGGUAUGUAAAACUCUAUCAGCAGGGAAGAUAAUGACGGUACCUGACUAAGAAGCCCCGGCUAACUACGUGCCAGCAGCCGCGGUAAUACGUAGGGGGCAAGCGUUAUCCGGAUUUACUGGGUGUAAAGGGAGCGUAGACGGAUGGACAAGUCUGAUGUGAAAGGCUGGGGCUCAACCCCGGGACUGCAUUGGAAACUGCCCGUCUUGAGUGCCGGAGAGGUAAGCGGAAUUCCUAGUGUAGCGGUGAAAUGCGUAGAUAUUAGGAGGAACACCAGUGGCGAAGGCGGCUUACUGGACGGUAACUGACGUUGAGGCUCGAAAGCGUGGGGAGCAAACAGGAUUAGAUACCCUGGUAGUCCACGCGGUAAACGAUGAAUGCUAGGUGUCGGGUGACGAA
rnacentral:rRNA from 1 species